AGAGUUUGAUCCUGGCUCAGGAUGAACGCUGGCGGCGUGCCUAAUACAUGCAAGUCGAACGAGUUCUCGUUGAUGAUCGGUGCUUGCACCGAGAUUCAACAUGGAACGAGUGGCGGACGGGUGAGUAACACGUGGGUAACCUGCCCUUAAGUGGGGGAUAACAUUUGGAAACAGAUGCUAAUACCGCAUAGAUCCAAGAACCGCAUGGUUCUUGGCUGAAAGAUGGCGUAAGCUAUCGCUUUUGGAUGGACCCGCGGCGUAUUAGCUAGUUGGUGAGGUAAUGGCUCACCAAGGCGAUGAUACGUAGCCGAACUGAGAGGUUGAUCGGCCACAUUGGGACUGAGACACGGCCCAAACUCCUACGGGAGGCAGCAGUAGGGAAUCUUCCACAAUGGACGCAAGUCUGAUGGAGCAACGCCGCGUGAGUGAAGAAGGCUUUCGGGUCGUAAAACUCUGUUGUUGGAGAAGAAUGGUCGGCAGAGUAACUGUUGUCGGCGUGACGGUAUCCAACCAGAAAGCCACGGCUAACUACGUGCCAGCAGCCGCGGUAAUACGUAGGUGGCAAGCGUUAUCCGGAUUUAUUGGGCGUAAAGCGAGCGCAGGCGGUUUUUUAAGUCUGAUGUGAAAGCCCUCGGCUUAACCGAGGAAGCGCAUCGGAAACUGGGAAACUUGAGUGCAGAAGAGGACAGUGGAACUCCAUGUGUAGCGGUGAAAUGCGUAGAUAUAUGGAAGAACACCAGUGGCGAAGGCGGCUGUCUGGUCUGUAACUGACGCUGAGGCUCGAAAGCAUGGGUAGCGAACAGGAUUAGAUACCCUGGUAGUCCAUGCCGUAAACGAUGAAUGCUAGGUGUUGGAGGGUUUCCGCCCUUCAGUGCCGCAGCUAACGCAUUAAGCAUUCCGCCUGGGGAGUACGACCGCAAGGUUGAAACUCAAAGGAAUUGACGGGGGCCCG
rnacentral:rRNA from 1 species